CAGUCGAGCGAGCGGAACCACAGAUUUACUUCGGUAAUGACGUUGGGAAAGCGAGCGGCGGAUGGGUGAGUAACACGUGGGGAACCUGCCCCUAAGUCUGGGAUACCAUUUGGAAACAGGUGCUAAUACCGGAUAAUAAAGCGGAUCGCAUGAUCAGCUUUUGAAAGGCGGCGUAAGCUGUCGCUAAGGGAUGGCCCCGCGGUGCAUUAGCUAGUUGGUAAGGUAACGGCUUACCAAGGCGACGAUGCAUAGCCGAGUUGAGAGACUGAUCGGCCACAUUGGGACUGAGACACGGCCCAAACUCCUACGGGAGGCAGCAGUAGGGAAUCUUCCACAAUGGACGCAAGUCUGAUGGAGCAACGCCGCGUGAGUGAAGAAGGUUUUCGGAUCGUAAAGCUCUGUUGUUGGUGAAGAAGGAUAGAGGUAGUAACUGGCCUUUAUUUGACGGUAAUCAACCAGAAAGUCACGGCUAACUACGUGCCAGCAGCCGCGGUAAUACGUAGGUGGCAAGCGUUGUCCGGAUUUAUUGGGCGUAAAGCGAGCGCAGGCGGAAAAAUAAGUCUAAUGUGAAAGCCCUCGGCUUAACCGAGGAACUGCAUCGGAAACUGUUUUUCUUGAGUGCAGAAGAGGAGAGUGGAACUCCAUGUGUAGCGGUGGAAUGCGUAGAUAUAUGGAAGAACACCAGUGGCGAAGGCGGCUCUCUGGUCUGCAACUGACGCUGAGGCUCGAAAGCAUGGGUAGCGAACAGGAUUAGAUACCCUGGUAGUCCAUGCCGUAAACGAUGAGUGCUAAGUGUUGGGAGGUUUCCGCCUCUCAGUGCUGCAGCUAACGCAUUAAGCACUCCGCCUGGGGAGUACGACCCGCAGGUUGAAACUCAAA
rnacentral:rRNA from 1 species